UACGUAGGUGGCGAGCGUUGUCCGGAAUUACUGGGUGUAAAGGGCGCGUAGGCGGGGGCGUAAGUCAGAUGUGAAAUUCCGAGGCUCAACUUCGGAGCUGCAUCUGAAACUACGUUUCUUGAGUGCCGGAGAGGGAAGCGGAAUUCCCAGUGUAGCGGUGAAAUGCGUAGAGAUUGGGAGGAACACCAGUGGCGAAGGCGGCUUCCUGGACGGUAACUGACGCUGAGGCGCGAAAGCGUGGGGAGCGAACAGG
rnacentral:rRNA from 1 species